GACGAACGCUGGCGGCGUGCUUAACACAUGCAAGUCGAACGGAAAGGCCCUGCUUUUGUGGGGUGCUCGAGUGGCGAACGGGUGAGUAACACGUGAGUAACCUGCCCUUGACUUUGGGAUAACUUCAGGAAACUGGGGCUAAUACCGGAUAGGAGCUCCUGCUGCAUGGUGGGGGUUGGAAAGUUUCGGCGGUUGGGGAUGGACUCGCGGCUUAUCAGCUUGUUGGUGGGGUAGUGGCUUACCAAGGCUUUGACGGGUAGCCGGCCUGAGAGGGUGACCGGCCACAUUGGGACUGGGAUACGGGCCAGGAUCCUACCGGAGGCAGCAGUGGGGAAUAUUGCACAAUGGGCGGAAGCCUGAUGCAGCAACGCCGCGUGCGGGAUGACGGCCUUCGGGUUGUAAACCGCUUUCGCCUGUGACGAAGCGUGAGUGACGGUAAUGGGUAAAGAAGCACCGGCUAACUACGUG
rnacentral:rRNA from 1 species